rnacentral:snRNA from 1 species
AUCGCUUCUCAGCAUUUUGGCUAAGAUCAAGUGUAGUAUCUGUUCCUAUCAGUUUAAAAGUUUAGUACUUCUGACACAUAUUUCUCAGAGACAUUUUAUUGUACAUUUAAGGAGUAGCUUCU